rnacentral:rRNA from 1 species
AGUGAACGCUGGCGGUAGGCCUAACACAUGCAAGUCGAACGGCAGCACAGUAAGAGCUUGCUCUUACGGGUGGCGAGUGGCGGACGGGUGAGGAAUACAUCGGAAUCUACUUUUUCGUGGGUGAUAACGUAGGGAAACUUACGCUAAUACCGCAUACGACCUACGGGUGAAAGCAGGGGAUCUUCGGACCUUGCGCGAUUGAAUGAGCCGAUGUCGGAUUAGCUAGUUGGCGGGGUAAAGGCCCACCAAGGCGACGAUCCGUAGCUGGUCUGAGAGGAUGAUCAGCCACACUGGAACUGAGACACGGUCCAGACUCCUACGGGAGGCAGCAGUGGGGAAUAUUGGACAAUGGGCGCAAGCCUGAUCCAGCCAUACCGCGUGGGUGAAGAAGGCCUUCGGGUUGUAAAGCCCUUUUGUUGGGAAAGAAGAGCAGCAGGUUAAUACCCCGCUGUUCUGACGGUACCCAAAGAAUAAGCACCGGCUAACUUCGUG